rnacentral:rRNA from 1 species
CCAGCACCCGCGGUAUUAAGUAGGGUCCAAGCGUUUAAUCGGAAUUACUGGGCGUAAAGGGCGCGUAGGCGCUAGCCAAGCCCGGAUGUGAAAGCCCCCGGGCUCAACCCGGGAACGGCAUUCGGAACUGGCAGGCUAGAGUGCAGGAGAGGAAGGUGGAAUUCCGGGUGUAGCGGUGAAAUGCGUAGAGAUCGGGAGGAAUACCAGUGGCGAAGGCGGCCUUCUGGACUGACACUGUCGCUGAGGCGCGAAAGCGUGGGUAGCAAACAGGAUUAGAUACCCUGGUAGUCCACGCCGUAAACGAUGUCGACCAGCCGUUGGACCCCUUGAGGGUUUGGUGGCGCAGUUAACGCAAUAAGUCGACCGCCUGGGGAGUACGGCCGCAAGGCUAAAACUCAAAUGAAUUGACGGGGGCCCGCACAAGCGGUGGAGCAUGUGGUUUAAUUCGAUGCAACGCGAAGAACCUUACCUGCUCUUGACAUCCUGCGAAUCUCCCAGAGAUGGGAGAGUGCCUUCGGGAACGCAGAGACAGGUGCUGCAUGGCUGUCGUCAGCUCGUGUUGUGAAAUGUUGGGUUAAGUCCCGUAACGAGCGCAACCCCUAUCCCUUUUUGCCAGCGGUCCGGCCGGGAACUUCAGGGAGACUGCCGGUGACAAACCGGAGGAAGGUGGGGACGACGUCAAGUCAUCAUGGCCCUUACGAGCAGGGCUACACACGUGCUACAAUGGCCGGUACAAAGGGUUGCGAAGCGGCGACGUGAAGCCAAUCCCAUAAAGCCGGCCUCAGUCCGGAUCGGAGUCUGCAACUCGACUCCGUGAAGUCGGAAUCGCUAGUAAUCGUGGAUCAGAAUGCCACGGUGAAUACGUUCCCGGGCCUUGUACACACCGCCCGUCACACCAUGGGAGUGGACUGCACCAGAAGUGGUUAGCUAACCUUCGGG